GACGAACGCUGGCGGCGUGCCUAACACAUGCAAGUCGAGCGGGGAACGGAUGGUAGCUUGCUACUGUUUGUUUCUAGCGGCGGACGGGUGAGUAACGCGUGAGCAACCUGCCUUUAUCAGGGGGAUAACGCAUCGAAAGAUGUGCUAAUACCGCGUAAGACCACAGCUUCACAUGGAGCGGGGGUCAAAGGAGCAAUCCGGAUAAAGAUGGGCUCGCGUCCGAUUAGCUAGUUGGUGAGAUAACAGCCCACCAAGGCGACGAUCGGUAGCCGACCUGAGAGGGUGAUCGGCCACAUUGGAACUGAGAGACGGUCCAGACUCCUACGGGAGGCAGCAGUGGGGAAUAUUGGGCAAUGGGCGAAAGCCUGACCCAGCAACGCCGCGUGAGGGAAGAAGGGUUUCGGCUCGUAAACCUCUGUCCUAUGGGACGAAGGAAGUGACGGUACCAUAGGAGGAAGC
rnacentral:rRNA from 1 species